UACGUAGGGUGCGAGCGUUGUCCGGAUUUAUUGGGCGUAAAGAGCUCGUAGGCGGUUUGUCGCGUCGGCCGUGAAAUCUCCACGCUUAACGUGGAGCGUGCGGUCGAUACGGGCAGGCUUGAGUUCGGUAGGGGAGACUGGAAUUCCUGGUGUAGCGGUGAAAUGCGCAGAUAUCAGGAGGAACACCGGUGGCGAAGGCGGGUCUCUGGGCCGAUACUGACGCUGAGGAGCGAAAGCGUGGGGAGCGAACAGG
rnacentral:rRNA from 1 species